AACGAACGCUGGCGGCAUGCCUAACACAUGCAAGUCGAACGAGACCUUCGGGUCUAGUGGCGCACGGGUGCGUAACGCGUGGGAACCUGCCCUUAGGUUCGGAAUAACUCCCCGAAAGGGGUGUUAAUACCGGAUAAUGUCUUCGGACCAAAGAUUUAUCGCCUUUGGAUGGGCCCGCGUUGGAUUAGCUAGUUGGUAGGGUAAAAGCCUACCAAGGCGACGAUCCAUAGCUGGUCUGAGAGGAUGAUCAGCCACACUGGGACUGAGACACGGCCCAGACCCUACGGGGGGGCGGAGUGGGGGAUAUUGGGCCAUGGGCGAAAGCCUGAUCCAGCAAUGCCGCGUGAGUGAUGAAGGCCUUAGGGUUGUAAAGCUCUUUUACCCGGGAUGAUAAUGACAGUACCGGGAGAAUAAGCUCCGGCUAACUCCGUG
rnacentral:rRNA from 1 species